rnacentral:rRNA from 1 species
UACGUAGGGGGCAAGCGUUGUCCGGAAUCAUUGGGCGUAAAGAGCGUGUAGGCGGCCCGGUAAGUCCGCUGUGAAAGUCCAGGGCUCAACCCUGGGAUGCCGGUGGAUACUGCCGGGCUAGAGUCCGGAAGAGGCGAGUGGAAUUCCUGGUGUAGCGGUGGAAUGCGCAGAUAUCAGGAGGAACACCGAUAGCGAAGGCAGCUCGCUGGGACGGUACUGACGCGUGAGGCGA